CCUACCUUCCUGAAAAAUCAUAAAAAUACUAAGACACAAUAAAACACAUUAUUCCUGAAAUCCUCAUUUUUCUUCGACCGUGCGAUGGCCUCUCAGCUUCCCGAUUGUGAGGGCUGCAAGGAUGUUGUUCUUCUGAUCCUCACUUUCCUUCACAGAGAUCCCUUCAAGAUACUCUGGCUAUGACACGUAGGCAGGUGGUCAGGCUUUAUUAUGGCCGUCAAAACACCUACUUGAUGAUCUUUGUAGACUUUUAACUAGAAUGUCUCAAUAUCCCCUCGUCACUCCGACUAAGUUGCACGCUUCAACCGGGUCCUGCAAGGAUUCUCAGGAUCUGGAGUAGCUUGCCAAGAGUCUGCUGCUGGUUUAACCUUA